rnacentral:rRNA from 1 species
CGAUCGAAUUGUCAGUGAUGCUCAUAACGGCCCUUGAAAAUCUGAGUAAGGUAUCCAAACACGCCAGAUCGUACCCAUAACCGCAUCAGGUCUCCAAGGUUAGCAGCCUCUGGUCGAUAGAAUAAUGUAGAUAAGGGAAUUCGGCAAAUUAGAUCCGUAACUUCGGGAAAAGGAUUGGCUCUGAGGAUUGGGUUAUAGUGGCUGCCAUUGAGAGGGGAACUAUGAAGGAGCUGAGCGAUCGGAUCUGAAUUGGUGAACCAGGAUUUGUCAGUUUGCUUACGCCGGCAACAAUCGACUCAGAACUGAAGCGGACAAGGGGAAUCCGACUGUUUAAUAAAAACAUAGCUUUGUGAUGGAGUGAAAACUUGUUGACACAAAGUGAUUUCUGCCCAGUGCUUUGAAUGUGAAUAUGAAGUAAUUUGUAGAAGCUCAGGUAAACGGCGGGAGUAACUAUGACUCUCUUAAGGUAGCCAAAUGCCUCGUCACCUAAUUAGUGACGCGCAUGAAUGGAUUAAUGAGAUUCCCACUGUCCCUAUCUACCAUCUAGCGAACCCACAGCCAAGGGAACGGGCUUGGAAUAAUCAGCGGGGAAAGAAGACCCUGUUGAGCUUGACUCUAGUCCGACUUUGUGAAAUGACUUUCGAGAUAUAGCCUAGGUGGGAGCGAAAGCGCCGCUGUAAAACCACUGCUCGCUUAGCCAUUUUACUUACUCCGUGAAGAAGUAUCCAACUCGUUGGUUCUUAGCUUUAAGCAUCUAUUUCAUAGGUGCGAGCUUUGCGGAGGACAUGGUCAGGUGGGGAGUUUGACUGGGGCGGUACAUCUGUUAAACAAUAACGCAGGUGUCCUACGGUGAGCUCAAAGAGAACAGAAAUCUCUUGUAGACCAAAAGGGGAAAAGCUCACUUGAUUUUGAUUUUCAGUACCAAUACAAACCGCGAAAGCGUGGCCUAUCGAUCCUUUAACUUUACAAGUUUUAAGCUAGAGGUGUCAGAAAAGUUACCACAGGGAUAACUGGCUUGUGGCAGCCAAGCGCCCAUAGCGACGUUGCUUUUUGAUCCUUCGAUGUCGGCUCUUCCUAUCAUUGUGAAGCAUAAUUCACAACGUGUUGGAUUGUUCACCCGUUAAUAGGGAACGUGAGCUGGGUUUAGACCGUCGUGAGACAGGUUAGUUUUACCCUACUGAUGAAUCGAUGUUGCGACAGUAAUCUUACUUAGUACGAUAGGAACCGUUAGAUCAGAUAAUUGGUUAAUACGGUUAGCUGAAAAGCUAAUGCCGUGAAGCUACCAUCUGUUGGAUUAUGACUGAAAGCCUCUAAGUCAGAAACCAUGCUGGAAAGCAACGUUCAAUCAAUAUUAAAUGAAAAACAAUAAGGGAAACCUUAAGUUCAGAGGUACGGCGCUGACACCCGAAAGGGCUUAGGCAAAGUAUCAAUCAAUUUCAAUUAUUAUUGU